UACGGAGGAUCCGAGCGUUAUCCGGAUUUAUUGGGUUUAAAGGGUGCGUAGGCGGCUUUUUUAAGUCAGCGGUGAAAUUUUGCAGCUUAACUGUAACAGUGCCGUUGAUACUGGGGAGCUAGGAUUUGGUUGCUGUGGGUGGAAUGUGUGGUGUAGCGGUGAAAUGCUUAGAUAUCACACAGAAUAUCGAUUGCGAAGGCAGCUCACAAAGCCAAGAUUGACGCUGAGGCACGAAUGUGUGGGGAUCAAACAGGAUUAGA
rnacentral:rRNA from 1 species